GGGCGGUUAGCUCAGCGGUAGAGCACAGCAUUCACAUUGCUGGGGUCGCAGGUUCAAUCCCUGCACCGCCCACCA
rnacentral:tRNA from 1 species